GGGAAGGUAGCUCAGUGGUAGAGCACUUGCUUUGCAAGCAUGAGGCCCUGGGUUUGAUUCCUCAGCACCA
rnacentral:tRNA from 1 species